rnacentral:lncRNA from 10 species
UCUUUCCUACCUUUGUUGAAAACUCCCUCAGCCUGCUGAUUUUUGACAACCUGUUGGAAGGUAACGAUACACAGAUUUUUCUGUGCACCAUAUUACAGCACAGCUUCCUGACAAGCUAGUCUCUGGCUAAACAAAUCAUUUGCGCCCUGUCUGAUUUGUUUCCAUGUUAGUAAUUCAACUGCAAUUUGUUCCUUCCCACAGCUAAAUGAAAAUGUGGUCAUCAGAUGCAAUCCUUCCUGUUUGGGCAUCAUAAAUAAUAGGUUUCUGGAGUGCAACACAUAAAUAUUUCACUAACCACAAUGUAGGUUUUAGGAAAUGGCAGAAUAAAAGUAGUAGAAGAAGAAUUUCCUAUAGAUUUCAUUUUUACUGUAGUUAGAGGCCAUUUUACGGCUUGGUGCAUUCAUUAGUCUCUUUAAGAAAGUGUUUUUCACCCAAAGAAACUUUAUAGUAUAAACAUGUGCUUUCUAAUUCCUUGACAUAUCAGGUUUCUAUUUUCUUCCUGGUUGAGUUGGGAUGUAAUAUAUCAUCAAGUAUUCCCAGGACUGAUUUUAAUUCACUGACUUUUUUUUCUACAUAGAAUUGUUAUCUCCUGGGCAAAUGAAGAGCCACUGUAGAAUAAUGAAAUUUAUACUGAAGCUAAAUUCUUCUCACUCCUGCUGGGCCAGAGACCCUUGGCUGGUGACAACCCACCUGGGCCUCGCUCAGCCACACUGGUAUGCCCCAGUGUUAUAGCCUGUACCCACAAUCAGCAGUUCCCAAGCUCUUGUACUGCACCCAAGAAGAAUGAGGAUAUGGUGAACAUUGAAGUGUGAGGAGGGUGGCCUGAAUUUUAUUGAGCGACGGAACAGCUCUCAGCAGAGGGGAUGCAGUGGGGCGAUUCCGCUACCGGAAGAAUCCUUGGCCAGUCAAAUCUACAGGGUAUCUCUCCUCAAGCAGUAAUCAGGGGUCCAUGAUUGCCAUGACAGAAGAAGAAACAGAAGAAUAAUGAUUGCUGGCUGUUAACUUCCUCGGCCUGGAAGUCAUACUCUCUGCUCACCUCUCAUUGGUUUGGACCAACCUACAGUCCCGUAGUGAGGAUUCAGAAACACAUCAAUGAAGUUCAGCACUCAUUUAUGACAAAAACUAUCACAAACCAGCACUGACUGCUGGCUCUUUCCUCCAAACUUCACCUGGUUAAACUACGAAAGAGGAAGGAAAGCACAGAUCUGAGGAUUUCACAGCUAUAACAAAAACAAAUGAACAGAAAGCUGUGAGAAACACAUUGGAAGACAAAAGGUAACUCAUGAUUUAAUGUGGAUGGAAACCAGCAGCAUGGGGUAGGUAAAUGUUAAUGCCACAGCCAGCAAAUAGAAUGGAGGAAAACUGUAUUAUUUUUAAACUUUUAUCAUAGAAUAAUUUUUAAAAGUACAAACAUUAAGAGAAUAGUAUAUGGUAUUCCCUUGUAACCUCCUUCACCCAUGUUCAACUCAUGGAAAAACUUUUUCACUUAUAUUCCACACAUCCCCUACUCAACUUGGAUACUUUUGCCCAACUGACUUCAAAAGGCUACUGUGCACGGGCAUGGUGGCCCAUGCCUGUAAUCCCAACCCUUUGGGAGGCCGAGAUGGGAGGAUUGCUUGAGCUCAGGAAUUCAAGACCAGGCCAAGCAACAUAAUAAGGCCCUGUCUGUACUAGAAAUCAAAAAAAUUAGCCAGGUGUGGUGGUGCAUGUCUGUAGGUAUUCCCAGCUACUCAGGAGGAUGAAGUGAGAGAAUUGCUGGAGCCCAGGAGGUUGAGGCUGCAGUGAGUUGUGAUUGUGCCACUGCACUCCAGCCUGGGCAACAGAGUGAGACCCUGUUUCAAAAAAAAAAGAAGGCUACUGUAGCAUUAAUUUUCAAAUAAUGACUGAGUAAUAGAAAAUCAUAAUCCCAUUUCAUUUAUGAAUGAACAUGACAUGAACAUUUUAAAUAAAAUAUUAGGUAAUAAAAUUUCAUACUUACAUUUAAAAUAAUAUUUUUUAAAUAAUAUGUUUCAUAAUGGAACCUAUCAGUAGCAUAUGACACUGUUGAUUCCUCUCUUUUUCUUCAUUUUCUUUUCUUGGCUUAAAAGCUAUAACUUUCUUUUGAUUCUCCUCCUACCUAAGAAGUUACUCCCUCUCAAGCUUCUUCUUUGGUGUGUCCACACUUUCCCAACUUUUAGCAUUAAAUUUCACCAAGACUGUGUCUCAGACCUCUCCUUUUCUCAAUCUAAACUUAUUUUCCAGGUCAUCUCAACCAUGCUUGCAACUUGAACUACCAUGACUUCCAAAUUUAUAUCUUGACCUUUGACUUGUCCUUAAAUGCGAGACUCAUGUAUGUAAUUCCCUACUUCACAUCUACACUUGAAUAUUUAAUAUACACUUAAGAUAUCCUAAAUCAUAAUUUUGAGCUUCUCUCCUCUACCUGCCCACCACCCCACCAAGCCUUCUGCUCCUGCCCUCUUCAUUUUAUUAAAUAUCAAUUUCAUCCUUAUAGCUGCUCAUACCUACACCCCGAAUAUAUCUAUGAUUCCUCUUUAAUAACCUGUAUCUAAUUCAUCAGAAAUCCUGUUUAACAUAUCUUCAAACAUAUCAAGAAUCAGACCACUUUGCACUACCCCAUAACUACCACUGGUUCAAAACAAUGAUUUCUUAUUUGGAUUAUGCAAAGCCUCUUAACUAAUCUCCUUCAACUCAUAUCACCUCUUAAAACUCUUCUCCCCAUCACAGCUAGAAAGUUUUAUUUUAAAAGUUUUUCAUAGACUUAAUUUUUUAGGGAACUUUUGUGUUCACAGCAAAACUAAAGAGAAAGUAGAGAGUUCCCAUAUAUUUCCUACCACUACACCAAAACAGCUUUCUCCACUAUCAAAAUCCACUCCCCAAACUGGUACAUUUGUUAACAUGGAUGAGCCUACAUUGGCACAUAAUUAUCACCCAAAGUCUAUAGCUUACAUUAUAGUUCACUCUUGGUAUAAAUUGAAUGUGUUUUGACAAAUGUAUAAUGAGCUGCAUCCACCACUAUAGGAUCAUACAGAGUAGUUUCACUGCCGUAAAAGUCUUCUGUGCACUGCCUACUCAUCCUUCUCUUCCAUCUGACCCCUGGAAACCACUGAUCUUCUUACUGUCUCCGUAGUUUUGUCUUUUCAGAGUAUCAUAGAGCUCAAAUCACCCAUUAUGUGCCCUUUCCAGAUUGGUUCCUUUCACUUAGUAUGCAUUUAUUAUUCUUCUAUGUCUUUUCAUGGCUUGACAGCUCAUUUGUUUUUUAGUGCCCAAUAAUAUUCCAUUGCCUGGAUGUACCACAGUUUAUUUUACCAUUCACCUACUGAAAAACAUCUCCUUGCUUCCAAGUUUUGGCAAUUAUGAAUAAAACUACGAUAAAUAUUUGUAUGAAGAUUUUUGUGUGGACAUAGUUUUCAACUCAUUUUAUUAAAUACCAAGAAGCAUGAUUGCUGAAUUAUAUGUGAAGAGGUAUGUUUAAUUUUGUACAAAACUGACAAACUAUCUUUCAGAAUGCGUACACCAUUUUGCAUUCCCACCAGCAAUAAAUUGGAGUUUCUGUUGUUCCAAAUUCUCACCAGCAUUUCAUAGUGUUUGUGUUUUGAAUUUUUACUAUUCUAUUAAUAACAGGUGUGUAAUGGUAUCUCAUUGUUACCUUAAUUUGCAAGCCUCCCUAAUGACGUGUGAUGUUAAACAUAUUUUACAUGUUUGUUUUCCAUCUGUAAAUCUUUGUGAGAUGUCUGUUCAGAUCUUUUGCUCUUUUGUAAUCAUUGUUUCUUUUUAAAUCAUUGAGUUUUAGAGACUCUUUAAAAAUGUAUGUUAGAUCAUUUUACUCCUAUUCUCAAAUAAAAAUAAUGAUCACAUUUAAUCUUCACCAUGAACUGUUCUAAGUGCUAUUCAAAUGGCAUUCCAUCCAUUUUAAGAUGUAUAUUCCUUUUUCUCUUCACUUUAAAAAUAUUUUAAAUUGGGAUGUAUCUCACUGCUGUUGGCCAGGGAGUAGUCAUGAUGUAACUGUCAUUGCCUAUUUAUGCAAAUAAAAACUUGCUAAAGAUGUUGGUGUCAUGGAAGAAAAUCUCAUAGACAAUAAUAAAACAUAAUUUUUAAAAUGUUGCAUCACCAGUGGUCUGAAUGCAAACAAGAAUGAUAUUGGGUAGAAAAAGAAAGACAUAGACAAUCUUAAAUGUAAAAGUUAAAAAAUCCUAAAAGUUACUAAUUGUAAAAAAUAUUUUAAUCAAUUCAUGCAACUUUUAGUUAAGACGUGGAAUGGUGAUGUCAUAGUAUUUUGGGAAAACCCUAAGUAAACCAACCCUCACAAAGGCUGAAACCUAGCAUUGAAUUAUUUCAAUACAUAUUUACAUCAAGUUGAUUCAUCCCUACUCUAUCUGACCACCAGAGAAAAGUAAAUAUCCCCUGGAGAAAGAUAAUAUCAUUCACAAUCUCUCUAACUUUUACAGUCUCUAGAAUGCAAUAAAAAAUUACCAAGCAUGACAGCAGGAAGAAGUAACUAACAGAAAACCUGCAAGUAAUAAAAACAUAGGAAUAAUCAAACAAAAAUAUUAAAAUCAUAUGAUAAACAUGUUCAAGAGAGUAGAGUAAAAGAUAGAGACUAUAUCCCCUGAGAAAUGAAUCAAAUGGGCUGGGUGCCGU